rnacentral:tRNA from 1 species
GGAUGUUUGGGAAGCUCGUUUUAAUUGAUUCGUCUCUUUGCCAAGGAGAAGACGCGGGUUCGAUUCCCGCUAUCCG